CCUACGGGAGGCAGCAGUGGGGGAUAUUGCACAAUGGGGGGAACCCUGAUGCAGCGACGCCGCGUGGGUGAAGGAGUGCUUCGGCAUGUAAAGCCCUAUCGGCAGGGAAGAAGCAAGACGGUACCUGACUAAGAAGCCCCGGCUAACUACGUUCCAGCAGCCGCGGUAAUACGUAGGGGGCGAGCGUUAUCCGGAUUCACUGGGUGGAAAGGGAGCGUAGACGGGCAUGCAAGCCAGGGGUGAAAGCCCGGGGCCCAACCCCGGGACUGCCCUUGGAACUGCAUGGCUGGAGUGCGGGAGGGGCAGGCGGAAGUCCUGGUGUAGCGGUGAAAUGCGUAGAUAUCAGGAGGAACACCGGCGGCGAAGGCGGCCUGCUGGACCGCGACUGACGUUGAGGCUCGAAAGCGUGGGGAGCGAACAGGAUUAGAUACCCGAGUAGUC
rnacentral:rRNA from 1 species